rnacentral:rRNA from 1 species
AGAAAAGAACAGAGCACCCUGAAGAUAACUGAUCUUAUCUGAUAUUGGAAGUUAAGUACGGUUGGGCUUGGUAAGGACUUGAGCGUGAGGAAAAGACACAGAUAUUUUUCAA